UGCCAGCCGCCGCGGUAAUACGGAGGGGGCUAGCGUUGUUCGGAAUUACUGGGCGUAAAGCGCGCGUAGGCGGGCUGUUAAGUCGGGGGUGAAAUCCCGGGGCUCAACCCCGGAACUGCCCUCGAUACUGGCAGCCUAGAGAUCGAGAGAGGUGAGUGGAAUUCCGAGUGUAGAGGUGAAAUUCGUAGAUAUUCGGAGGAACACCGAUGGCGAAGGCAUCUCUCUGGGUCGAUAUUGACGCUGAGGCGCGAAGGCGUGGGUAGCGAACGGGAUUAGAUA
rnacentral:rRNA from 1 species